GUCCACGCCGUAAACGAUAAUCACUAGGUGUUAGUCCGGCUUAGCUGGAUUAGUGCCGUAGCUAACGCGUUAAGUGAUUCGCCUGGGGAGUACGGUCGCAAGGCUAAAACUUAAAAGAAUUGACGGGGGUCCGCACAAGCGGUGGAACAUGUGGUUUAAUUCGACACUACGCGAGAAACCUUACCUGGGCUUGACAUGUACUCGACAGCUGUAGAAAUACAGUCUUUUGGGUUCGAUUCAAACGGGUACACAGGUGCUGCAUGGCUGUCGU
rnacentral:rRNA from 1 species